rnacentral:rRNA from 1 species
AUUGAACGCUGGCGGCAGGCCUAACACAUGCAAGUCGAGCGAGCGGCGGACGGGUGAGUAAUGUAUGGGGACUGCCCGAUAGAGGGGGAUAACUACUGGAAACGGUGGCUAAUACCGCAUACAAUCGGCAAACCCAUAUGGGAUUAGCUAGUAGGUGGGGUAAAGGCUCACGUAGGCGACGAGCUCUAGCUGGUCUGAGAGGAGGAUCAGCCACACGGUGACGGAGACACGGCCCAGACUCUUACGGAGGCAGCAGUGGGGAAUAUUGCACGCUGGGCGCAAGCCUGUUGCUGCCAUGCCGCGUGUAUGAAGAAGGCCCUAGGGUUUUAAAGUACUUUCAGCGGGGAGGCGUUACCCGCAGAAUAAGUACCGGCUAACUCCGUGCCAGCAGCCGCGGUAAUUC